rnacentral:rRNA from 1 species
GAUGAACGCUGGCGGCGUGCCUAAUACAUGCAAGUCGAGCGAACGGACGAGAAGCUUGCUUCUCUGAUGUUAGCGGCGGACGGGUGAGUAACACGUGGAUAACCUACCUAUAAGACUGGGAUAACUUCGGGAAACCGGAGCUAAUACCGGAUAAUAUUUUGAACCGCAUGGUUCAAAAGUGAAAGACGGUCUUGCUGUCACUUAUAGAUGGAUCCGCGCUGCAUUAGCUAGUUGGUAAGGUAACGGCUUACCAAGGCAACGAUGCAUAGCCGACCUGAGAGGGUGGUCGGCCACACUGGAACUGAGACACGGUCCAGACUCCUACGGGAGGCAGCAGUAGGGAAUCUUCCGCAAUGGGCGAAAGCCUGACGGAGCAACGCCGCGUGAGUGAUGAAGGUCUUCGGAUCGUAAAACUCUGUUAUUAGGGGAGAACAUAUGUGUAAGUAACUGUGCACAUCUUGACGGUACCUAAUCAGAAAGCCACGGCUAACUACGUG